rnacentral:rRNA from 1 species
GACGAACGCUGGCGGCGUGCUUAACACAUGCAAGUCGAACGGAAAGGCCCUGCUUUUGUGGGGUGCACGAGUGGCGAACGGGUGUGUAACACGUGCGUAACCUGCACUUGUCUUUGGGAUAACUCUCCGACACUCGGGCUACUACAGGGUAGGAGAUCCUGCUGCAUGGUGGGGGUUGGAAAGUUUCGGCGGUUGGGGUUGGACUCGCGGCUUAACAGCUUGUUGGUGGGGUAGUCGCAUACAAAGGCUUUGACGGGUAGCCGGCCUGAGAGGGUGACCGGCCUCAAUUGGACUGAGAUACGGCCCAGGCUCCGACGGGAGGCAGCAGUGGGGAGUAUGGCACAACGGGCGGAAGCCAGAGGCAGCAAUGCCGCGUGCGGGAUAACGGCCGUCGGGUUGUAAACCGCUUUCGCCUUUGACGAAGCGGGAGUGACGGUAAUUGGUAAAUAAGCACCGGCUAACUACGUG